UCGGAGCAUGAUCUUCUCGUUUUCAUGUCAACAGAGAACGAUAGAAGGAGCGGGUAGAUUUUGGUUCUAUUCGCGUCCUCGGGACGUUUGUCCCAGAUCAUCCUGGGAGGAUAGGUGUUGGUGAAAGGAGCGAGAACUCGGAGCUCUAUUGGAGACCUUAGCAGGCUCAUUGAACUCUGAGAUCGACUAGUAAAAAGAGCUUUAAGCCUUUGAGGACUACCACGGAUGACCUGGAUUCCUACCGAAUACGCACAGAGGCACAAAGCUAUCCCAGUGCUGUUGGCUAAUGCAAAGGCGCAGACAGUGACAAUGAACUACUUCAAGCUCUUCGUAAUUGCCGGCUGCGCAUCGGCAGCAGGUCUGGUGCUCCUUGUCACCCUGGGGUUUGUCAUGUAUAGGCGAGGGCGCAAUAGGCGACAAGCCAGAAGGAGCCAGCUGGAAAGGAUGGAAACGGCAGC